rnacentral:rRNA from 1 species
UACAGAGGGUGCGAGCGUUAAUCGGAAUUACUGGGCGUAAAGUGUGCGCAGGCGGCGCCGCAUGUCGAGUGUGAAAGCCCCGAGCUUAACUUGGGAAUUGCGCUCGAAACUACGGUGCUGGAGUGUGGCAGAGGAAGGUGGAAUUCCACGUGUAGCGGUGAAAUGCGUAGAGAUGUGGAGGAACACCGAUGGCGAAGGCAGCCUUCUGGGCCAACACUGACGCUCAUGCACGAAAGCGUGGGGAGCAAACAGG